UUUUUGAAAAUAAUUUAAAGUAGGGCCUGCCCACUGAAUAAUUAAAGGGCCGCAGUAUUUUGACUGUGCAAAGGUAGCAUAAUCAUUAGUUUUUUAAUUGAAAGCUUGUAUGAAUGGUUUGAUGAGAAAAAAUCUUUCUAUAUUUUAAUUUUAUGAAUUUUAUUUUUAAGUUAAAAAGCUUAGAUUUUUAUAAUAGACGAGAAGACCCUAUAGAGUUUAAUUUUUUAAUUAAUAUAAAUUUUUAGAAUUUGAUAAUUUUUAUUUAUUUAAAAAAUUUAAUUGGGGUGAUUAAAAAAUUAAAUGAACUUUUUUUAAAUUAAAACAUUAAUUUAUGAAAAAUUGAUCCAUAAUAAUGAUUAUAAGAUUAAAUUACCUUAGGGAUAACAGCGUUAUUUUUUUUUAGAGUUCAAAUCGAAAAAAAAGAUUGCGACCUCGAUGUUGGAUUAAAGUUAAUUUUAGGUGCAGAAGCUUAAAAAUUUGGUCUGUUCGACCAUUAAAACUUUACA
rnacentral:rRNA from 1 species